rnacentral:rRNA from 1 species
UAAACUGAAGAGUUUGAUCAUGGCUCAGAUUGAACGCUGGCGGCAGGCUUAACACAUGCAAGUCGAGCGGGGAAGUGUAGCUUGCUACAUUACCUAGCGGCGGACGGGUGAGUAAUGCUUAGGAAUCUGCCUAUUAGUGGGGGACAACAUUCCGAAAGGAAUGCUAAUACCGCAUACGUCCUACGGGAGAAAGCAGGGGAUCUUCGGACCUUGCGCUAAUA